rnacentral:rRNA from 1 species
UGAUUUUAGUGCUUGCACUAAAUGAAACUAGAUACAAGCGAGCGGCGGACGGGUGAGUAACACGUGGGUAACCUGCCCAAGAGACUGGGAUAACACCUGGAAACAGAUGCUAAUACCGGAUAACAACACUAGACGCAUGUCUAGAGUUUGAAAGAUGGUUCUGCUAUCACUCUUGGAUGGACCUGCGGUGCAUUAGCUAGUUGGUAAGGUAACGGCUUACCAAGGCAAUGAUGCAUAGCCGAGUUGAGAGACUGAUCGGCCACAUUGGGACUGAGACACGGCCCAAACUCCUACGGGAGGCAGCAGUAGGGAAUCUUCCACAAUGGACGAAAGUCUGAUGGAGCAACGCCGCGUGAGUGAAGAAGGGUUUCGGCUCGUAAAGCUCUGUUGGUAGUGAAGAAAGAUAGAGGUAGUAACUGGCCUUUAUUUGACGGUAAUUACUUAGAAAGUCACGGCUAACUACGUGCCAGCAGCCGCGGUAAUACGUAGGUGGCAAGCGUUGUCCGGAUUUAUUGGGCGUAAAGCGAGUGCAGGCGGUUCAAUAAGUCUGAUGUGAAAGCCUUCGGCUCAACCGGAGAAUUGCAUCAGAAACUGUUGAACUUGAGUGCAGAAGAGGAGAGUGGAAUUCCAUGUGUA